GGUAAGUACGUACCAGCGGCGGGGUGCAGGCGUGGGAGGGUGGGGUGUUCCGGAUUCGUUGGGCGUAAAGGGGGGGCAGGCGGUUUGGCGAUUGGGAAGUGAGAACCCGAGGUGCAACUUCGGGGCUGCAUCCGAAACUGCGCGACUAGAGGUAGGUAGGGGAGAUCGGAAUUCCUGGGUGAGCGGUGAAAUGCGCAGAUAUCAGGAGGAACACCGGUGGCGAAGGCGAAUCUCUGGGCAUCACCUGUCGCUGAGGUGCGAAGGCUAGGGGAGCGAACAGGAUUAGAUACCCGUGUAGUC
rnacentral:rRNA from 1 species